rnacentral:rRNA from 1 species
CGGGAAAAGCUCAAAUUUAAAAUCUGGUGGCCGAAAGGUUGCCCGAGUUGUAAUUUGGAGAGGAUGCUUCGGGUGUGGCCCCGGUCUAAGUUCCUUGGAACAGGACGUCACAGAGGGUGAGAAUCCCGUACGUGCCCGGUGGCCGCCCCCGUGUGAAGCUCCUUCGAC